rnacentral:rRNA from 1 species
GGGCUAACUCUGUACCUGCAGCCGCGGUAAUGCGGAGGGUGCAAGCGUUUAUCGGAUUUACUGGGAGUAAAGCGCGCGUAGGUGGCCAAAUAAGUCAAAUGUAAAAUCCCCGAGCUUAACUUGGGAAUUGCAUUCGAUACUGGUUGGCUAGAGUAUGGGAGAGGAUGGUAGAAUUCCAGGUGUAGCGGUGAAAUGCGUAGAGAUCUGNGAGGAAUACCGAUGGCGAAGGCAGCCAUCUGGCCUAAUACUGACACUGAGGUGCGAAAGCAUGGGGAGCAAACAGGAUUAGAUACCCUGGUAGUCCAUGCCGUAAACGAUNUNUACUAGCCGUUGGGGCCUUUGAGGCUUUAGUGGCGCAGCUAACGCGAUAAGUAGACCGCCUGGNGNNGNAGUANCGGUCGCNANAGACUAAAACUCAAAUGAAUUGACGGGGGCCCGCACAAGCGGUGGAGCAUGUGGUUUAAUUCGAUGCAACGCGAAGAACCUUACCUGGUCUUGGCAUAGUAAGAACUUUCCAGAGAUGGAUUGGUGCCUUCGGGAACUUACAUACAGGUGCUGCAUGGCUGUCGUCAGCUCGUGUCGUGAGAUGUUGGGUUAAGUCCCGCAACGAGCGCAACCCUUUUCCUUAUUUGCCAGCGGGUUAAGCCGGGAACUUUAAGGAUACUGCCAGUGACAAACUGGAGGAAGGCGGGGACGACGUCAAGUCAUCAUGGCCCUUACGACCAGGGCUACACACGUGCUACAAUGGUCGGUACAAAGGGUUGCUACCUCGCGAGAGGAUGCUAAUCUCAAAAAGCCGAUCGUAGUCCGGAUUGGAGUCUGCAACUCGACUCCCAUGAAGUCG